rnacentral:rRNA from 1 species
GAUGAACGCUAGCGAUAGGCCUAACACAUGCAAGUCGAGGGGCAUCACAUGAAGUAGCAAUACGGAUGGUGGCGACCGGCGCACGGGUGAGUAACACGUAUGCAACCUGCCUUCAACAAGGGGAUAACCCGUUGAAAGACGGACUAAUACCCUAUAACACAGGGGUCCCGCAUGGGGAUAUUUGUUAAAGGACAACCGGUUGAAGAUGGGCAUGCGUUCCAUUAGCUAGUUGGCGGGGUAACGGCCCACCAAGGCAACGAUGGAUAGGGGAACUGAGAGGUUUAUCCCCCACACUGGUACUGAGACACGGACCAGACUCCUACGGGAGGCAGCAGUGAGGAAUAUUGGUCAAUGGGGCGAGAGCCUGAACCAGCCAAGUCGCGUGCAGGAAGAAUGUCCUAUGGAUUGUAAACUGCUUUUGCAGGGGAAUAAAGUGCCCCACGCGUGGGUUUGCAUGUACCGUAUGAAUAAGGAUCGGCUAACUCCGUGCCAGCAGC